rnacentral:lncRNA from 1 species
UUCGAAGGAUUCGAAGUUGUAGUUUGGAUCCGGAAUCCAAAACGCAGAGAGAUUAUGUAUGAAGCUCGUUGCUGAGAAAGCACAGUCGAAUCAUUUGGAAAGGAUUCGAAGAUAUGGUUUAGAUCUGGAAUCCGAAACCCAGAGAGAUUAGAGACGAAGCUCAGUGCUGCGAGAUUAGAGUCCAAUCAAUUCGUCGUGCGCAAGUCUGAAAGAGAACGAGGGCAAGUUUGAAAGCGACGAGAGGGAGAGCUCUGGCAAUAUCUUGGGAGCAAGGUGUGUGAGGUGAGUAAAACCGUCAAAAUCUUAUGAUUCAGUGACUAUGAUUUAUCAUGUUUUCAUUCUCUUCCUCUUUAUCUCGGUUGAUCAUUGAGCUGUUAGCUUUCCAUUAAAUUGUUCAUUGCAACUAGUUCCUUGAAUCCUUUCUUUCUAUUGAUACGAAUUUCAACCCUAAGAUAGCUUGGCUGCAUGUACUUUGUUGCUAGUUGGAUUACACAUCCUUAAUACUUUGGUCGAAAUUUCUGUUAUAAGUGAAGUUAUAUUUGUCCUUGAUUCAUAAUUUCAUUACACAGAUUUUACGGGCAUUUUGAGUAGUAUAGAAUCAAUACAUUAUUUGCAUAAUUUGAUUGAGAAAUAAGAAAGAUAUGAAUCCGUAUGCCCUGUUUUCACUAUGAACUUUGCUGUGUUUGCUUAUGUUUUCAUUACUCACCGCUAUAUAUUUAUUUGCUAAGUGCAUUAGCAUUUAACUGGAAUUCGUGUAUCUCAAAACUAUUGCAUUCUGCUUGUACUAACUUACAUUACAAAAAAGGGGAAAUGACUAUUUGCACAAUAUUAUUAACCUGUUUUAGUAGGCAUUGGACAGUUAGCCAUUAGCAAUUAGCUUAUGUUAUUGUAAUCUACUCUGGUUGAACGUAGAUGGAGAAACUCCUUUUUGUUCCCUUCUCUCGGUCAUGCAACAUACCGCACAGAAGAGAAUAUGAGAACAUGUACUUGGCUUUUAACUGUGCUUAUUUGUUUGAGUAUUAAGAUUACUCCACCAAAUGAGUUUUGAUCCGUGUUAGUGUAUAGCCCUACUUGGUGAUUUUGAUCCUUGUGGAGGUUGUAAAGAGGAGAUCUCAAGUGUAAUCUUACUAUUAAAAGUGUAUGUAAAGUACUUUGUGUGCCAUCUACCUUGAGUUAUUAUAACUACUGUGUCUGCCAUUUACCUUGAGUUAGUAUAAGUAUUGAGUGUGUCAAUUACCUUGAGUUAGUAUAAACAGCAAGAAGAAGUGAUAUGAUAUAUCCAUAUAUCGAAUUGUAUGAGACAUACAGCAAGUUGUAAGUAAUGGUCUAAUAUGCCAUUUCCAAUCUGUUUGUAGUUUCAUACCUGUUGUCCAUUGAGGGCCAAUUUUGAUGACUUGCCAUUUAGUAAAAUCCCUCUGGAGGGCCUCUGCUGAUGUCGUUGCAACAUUCAAACGAAAUGCGUUCACAUGUAUAGUAGAUUAAUUUGAGGUGUUAGCGUGUUUGUGUUUGAUGCUCAUAUCAUUCUUAGAGUAGCAUUAUGUUGCACUAGGUAUUUGUGAUUGGAAUCCAUUUUGUUCUCGGUUUUUAAUCCUCUUAUAAUUUUCAUAAGAUUUUCAUUUCACUGGCACAUGUCCCCGCCCCAACUUCCUAAGCAUAAUGGUGCACCUGCAUUCCUGCAACUUGUGUUUUUCUAAUGCUGAAGUAAAACUAUUUUCAGGUCUUCUGGGCAUUUUCAAUAUAAUUGGAUGUAGUCGUGAUUACUCCACAAUUAGUUUUGUUACAACGAAGUGUAAAUGUGGAUAAUUUGACAUGGCAGUAUGUUUUCUUUCUUGGGCAAGUAUAUUACUCUUUCCCUCAUUGUCAUGUGCUAUAGAAUUGAAUAACUAAAGGGUGGAAAUUACUUGAAGUUCAAGUGAAUAUAGUUUUCUUGUAAAUUUUUGCUUUCUUUUCUAUCAUUAUUCACAAUCUGAUUACCAGAUACGUUAUGAAUAACAAUUGGGUCUAUUUUGAUCUCAUUUUGUUUUUCAAUCAUAAUUGAGAAGCCAUUAUUUGAAAUGCCGAAUUCUAAUGUAACGGUGAUCGUAUCUCAAUAUAUGCAGUAGGUUUUCUUCUAAUGAACAACAGUCUAGCGCCAAUAUUGGGCCACCAUUUAGCUUGGUAAUAUUGAUUCUAAAACCAAGAUGUCUAGCUAUGAAAUGUUUGUAUUGGAUGUAUGCUAGUUUCUGUUGGAGUCUAAGAAACGUGCAUUUCUGUGAUACCCAAAAUAAAGAACCACAU